rnacentral:rRNA from 1 species
UGCAAGUCGAACGGCAGCACAGCAGAGCUUGCUCUGUGGGUGGCGAGUGGCGGACGGGUGAGUAAUGCAUCGGGACCUACCUCAACGUGGGGGAUAACGUAGGGAAACUUACGCUAAUACCGCAUACGUCCUACGGGAGAAAGCAGGGGACCUUCGGGCCUUGCGCGGUGAGACGGACCGAUGUUCGAUUAGCUAGUUGGUAAGGUAAUGGCUUACCAAGGCGACGAUCGAUAGCUGGUCUGAGAGGAUGAUCAGCCACACUGGAACUGAGACACGGUCCAGACUCCUACGGGAGGCAGCAGUGGGGAAUAUUGGACAAUGGGCGCAAGCCUGAUCCAGCAAUGCCGCGUGUGUGAAGAAGGCCUUAGGGUUGUAAAGCACUUUUAUCGGGAACGAAAUACCAUGGGCUAAUAACCGAUGGGGCUGACGGUACCCGAGGAAUAAGCACCGGCUAACUUCGUGCCAGCAGCCGCGGUAAUACGAAGGGUGCAAGCGUUAAUCGGAAUUACUGGGCGUAAAGGGUGCGUAGGCGGUUAGUUAAGUCUGUUGUGAAAUCCCCGGGCUCAACCUGGGAAUGGCAAUGGAUACUGGCUAGCUAGAGUGUGUCAGAGGAUGGUGGAAUUUCCGGUGUAGCGGUGAAAUGCGUAGAGAUCGGAAGGAACAUCAGUGGCGAAGGCGGCCAUUCUUGGGACAACACUGAC